rnacentral:lncRNA from 1 species
CCAGGAUGUACCUGGCUGGAGGAGGUCCCUGACUGCAUAGGGCUCCCUGUCCUAGAGGACUAAAGGAAGGACCUCCUGACAGUAUGAUUGGCUGCCUUAGUAGGGUAAUGCAGAUGAUCUGGAAGAAUAUGGGGAACUAGAGGCUCUAAGAAGAUUGCAGUUUUCAUGUGAGCAGGUGGUGUUCCCUGAGACCCCUUCAUCUUCAGUUCAUGCUCUAAGGCCGGCUGACAUUAAAGCAGUCACUUCAAUAGGAAGUUUGCAAAGAGUAAGUACAGGCAGGAAAUGUGCUGAGCGUGACCCAUUUCCUCCGUUGUGAUGAUGAAGUCAGCUGAUGAUGUAGUUUGGGGUCUCA